GCCCGGAGGUGAAAAAGCACUCAGCAUCUCACAGAUGCAAAACUAAUGACUUUUAAAUCUAAUAUGGCCAAGUUUUCAUGCCAAUUAUCAAAUGAAUGUUCCUAUUUCCUGUAAAGAUGUACUUUGUAAUACUCUCAGCUGCACUUUAACUGGCUACACGAUGCAGGUUGUCUGGGCGAACAAGCUGUAAAAGAAGCUAAGUGCCAAUUAAAGCUCUGGGAAGCGGCUCUUUAGCAUGAACCCAGCGAGGCACUGUAGCGUACAUAAUGUCCCUUACACAAACCCUGAGCUGCUGCCUCUCAUUUCUAAUACACUGCAGCAACACCUGCCUUAUGGGACCCAGGACAUUCCUGUGGAAAAUCAACAAUGGCAGGCUUUUGGAAAAACACUCUGUUUAUUUUUAAUCUAAUUGUUCCAAACCAUAUCAAGUGGAAGGAAAGGUUUUUGACAUUAUCCCUCUGUUAGACUUAAAUGACAGAGAAGAUCAACAGAGCAGUUUGCUGUUAAUUACAUAUUUACUGUUACCAAGCUGAAAGUAGCUUUGGGAUCAAAUUCUGUCAAUCCUCCAAGACAAGGUCUUAAGCAAUUGGGCUGAUUAUACUUCCCUAAGUUUACAUGCACUGAAUUUUUCAUACUUCCUUAUGUUUAAAUCAAUUGUAUUGUGGGAGAAAACAAAUAAAUGGGUUUUUUCCCUAUUUACUUCUUUCCACAGUCUCCUGUCUGUUUAUGUACACAGACUAGAAUUCUCUCUGCAGUUUCUCUAGGGGUGAUAACAGCAAGGCUUUUUUCCUCUGCAAACAUAUACGACUUUGCUGAAUUAAUAGAAACAUGGAAAAGAAGGAACAGCAACAGAUGCAGUGUAUUCUUUUGGAAAGCAUGGAGGAAAUAGCCUGGAUUGUCUUCCUUGGCCAGAUCAUCUUCAGAGUAGAUCUCAGAUAUCCUUGGGAAUACCAUGAGGACACCAGUAUUCUGUAGGUAUGCAGGAGUUCACAACUUACCUAGUGGAGUUUAAUGAUGAAGAGAUGCUUCCUGUGUGUUUAAGGAUUUUCAGCAAACGUAGCACAAAUGAGAUAAUCAGUCUUGCUGCAACCCUUACAUCAGCUUCCAGCCAUCCCAUGGAAAUGUUUAUUUUGCAGAUGGUCAGCUUGACCUACUGACUUUAUAAUAGGAAACUAUUCCUAUGUCUCAGUUUAUCAUAACACAGAUAAACAAGUGCAGCCCAAGCCAUUCUGAAGAACUGAGGAGACAGGUGUUCCAAGUCAAAAGUUUAAUAAGAGGUAUCUUCAAGGAAAACCUCCUGUAACAGGGGCACUUGAAUUCAAAUGUAAUUAAUCACAAAAAUUGAUCGCAAAACCAGUGGAACAGGAAGUUAGCCAGAGCUGAAGCUGUUGAGCUGCUGCUUCCACAACAGUAGCACAAUUCUUUGUGCAUUUCUGUGAUUUCUGUGACACUAAGAGUGCUGGAAUUCAAUGGAGUGGAAAUGAAAGCCAGCAAUGUGAAUUGCAAUAUGACAUUCUGACAGCAGAUUUACUGAAGCCCACAGAAGUCAUCAUGGAAAAAAUAAGUACUUUAAAAGAAAGAAAUUGAAUAGUAUAGACCUGUCAUACUCCUGCUUCCUAGUAUCUGCUACUUCUCCUGGUAUUAUGCUCAGCCUUCCAGUGCCCCUUGGGCAUUGAAGCUUUCAGAAGUAAGAGAGAAUCAUGCAGCUCAAAUCUUUGACCAUGAAGAAUAUGAUAUUUUUGAUUUCUCCCUUCUCAUCUUGGGAGCUUCUUGAGGAAUGAUGCGGAGUGCAUUCAGAGAAGGAUCUAUUGUAUAAAACAAAGCCUUUCUUCCAGUCACUCUGGAGAACAAUACCGUGUGAGAACAGUGCUGUGCUUUAAAUCAUUAAAGAUAACUUCUUGCCAGGUGUGAUAGACUGGGGUGCUUACACUCUAUUCCUCUGAGCACUUUGAAGAAACUACUACAUUUGUCAAAUGACAAAAAGAAUCAUCUUAAGAGAGUCAAUUGAGAUACAUCAAAAGCAACUGGAAAAUCUGCAGUCCCAGUGACAUCUAUCUACCUGUUGCUUUGUCAGAUUUUCCAUUCAAGUCAUGUCAUUUCAGGUACCUCUUCCCAAUCUCAAGGAAAUCACCUGUUUUGUGAACCGCGGAUGCUGUUAAAAUUGAUGUGGAAAACAAUGAUCCAGAAAUUAUCUGUGUGAGGAAUUUCUUUAAAACGCCAGAGCUGUUGUAUGGUAACAAAUUGUAUCAGAAUUGAACACGGGGGUGAUGCUAAACCUCCUGCUGCUUAAAAAAACAUUUUUUGAACUGGUGUCUUACAGUGCUGUACUAUCAUUGCCGGUUGAAAGCAUUUGUGCAUAAAUAUGAAUUUACCAUGGUUCUUGUAAACCAUGACAAAAGGCUGUGCUGUGGCAGGAAAAGUAACACGGAUGGACUUUGAAAGUCUAAAAGCCAGUAAUACUCUUAAUAUGGUGACUGAGCACUCUAAGUCUCUGGCUUGGGGUAUCAUUUGCCUUAAUUACUUGUGGAUCAUCUGUCUUAAAGUGCUGACUUGUUCCUGAAAACAUAAGGUUGGUGAUGCAGUGAAAGUCAACUGAAAAAUCUGAUCUAUAACUUCAAUUAAUAUUUUCUUACAAGUAAUUACACAAAUAUAAACAACUUAGAAAAAUAUCAAACCCUCAAAAUAGCAGGUUUAUCUUUUACUCUCUCUUUACCCCCCUUUCCAAAGGAAAAAAAAAAAAAAAAAAGAAAAGCUACUGAUACAGUAAAUCAGAGAUAAAGACAUCCAAAAUGUAUGAACUUUCAGAAAUGGAAAUUUGAUAGGCAGAGGCCAGUUUCCAAAAUUAUAAAGAAAUACUGCAAAAGUAAUUUAUUGAAAAUAUUUAGAACUGAAUGCUCCAGAAUCAAGAGGACAAAGUGUAGGAAGAAGUUAAAUCAGGCAAAGCUUAGACAGUAUUAACAGGUUAUGUUCAUUAAUUAGUUGUAGCAUUUCACCACAGUACAAAACAGGAUUUUUAGAGUACAAAGAGCAUAAAAAAAUCCUAAUGUCAUUUUUAAUUGAACAAAAGAAAUCUGCACCAAUUUCUGGCAACUUUGGUGGAGAAAGAGAAGGACAUUCAAAUCAAGAAGAAGUAGUAGCAGUAGGUUUGCAUUAGGAAUUAGCAGUUAAUUUAAGAGCAGAACAUUCCUGAGUUGAUUGAAAGCAAACUAAGUCCAUCAAACUAAAUGUCAGCAAAGUUUUGAGUGCUUAUAGCCCACAACUGUUUCUCAUAAGGGAUACAAAGUUUGGCACUGAGCAAGGCUCCAAGGGUAUGUUACAUUUUUUAUCAGACCUUGGAAUUCAUCCAUUUUGGGGUGGUAUCACAGGAAGCUGUUUUGGUUGCAGUCCUUUUUGUCAAGAUGAACCAUAGUUGUGUUACUUUUGUUUACAUUUUGUUCCAUGUUUUUCCUUCAAUUGAAUACCUGUCUGUAUGCAAAUAAACUCAUUUUUAAGAGGCAGCAUGAAUGAUAGAAUUGCAGCAUAAAUUAGUAUCAUCUCACCUGAUUUUUGCAGGUCUUACCAAAUCAUGUUACAAAUGAAAUUCCCCACUUAGCUACAUCUAGCUCUAUGAUUAACUUUUGUAGCUGGUCUGAUUUCAUUGUGAUUGAUAAUCAACUUUCUCUUACGGCAAAGAAAGUUACAGUACUGCACAAAGAAACUACAUAAAACCAUCUUUCUGGGGCAUCUGUACUGAUAAGCAACAGUGCACAUGGACAGAAGAUAAUCAAUGCCAAUUACACUGCGAAAAAGCCUCUGCUAUUCUCAAAUGGUAACUUCUAUCACCUCUGUAAUAAAGGCCUGCUACAAGCUCUGUUACAAAUCCCUGUUCUUCUGAAAUAUAUAACAGUUCUCUAAGAUAAAGCUUUGUAUAAUAAAUGUAAUAUCCAAGAGCAAGUGUGAAAUUACCCACUCACUUUCCAGCAGGCAAUAAAACAGGGCAGUUGAAGCAGUUAUGUGCCAUACGUAAAUGACAGGAAAUUGUAGGCUGGUAGGAAUCUGUUCCUCUGGUCAAGCAGGGUUUUCAGUUUCUGUCUCCAGUAGACAGCCUGCACUCCACUGAGUGCUUUCCCUGCAAAAUCAGUCUUGUUUCUGCUUCUUCCUUUUGGACUUAGCAUGUCCAAGGGCAGAAUGAGCAAAGAGGCUGACCACGCACUGCCCUGGGAGGCUUAAGCUGCUUCUGUUUCUUCAGAUUUUCACAGCAGCUGUGAACAGGGUUCUUCCAUUCUCAUUAGUUCAGCCAUUUCUCUUACAGGUCUCUGUAUCUGGUUAUGAUGUUAUUUAGUAACCAGCAGCAGACAGACAAUUCAAGAUAAUUAAGUCAGUCAAAGCAGUUGCAAAAAGUUUAAUCUUUUUCACCAGAUCUAGUAAAAUGCUUUGUAUGUACUUACAUAUAUACAUCCCUUUGUUCUAUGUUGCAUGUUGUAACACACAACAACGCUUGCUAGUGUGCCCCAGCCAAACCAUUUUUAGUUAUUUUUACCAGAGCCCUCAGAGUAGGACCAGGCUGGAAUUACUCUCACUGGCUUCACCUGCCCUUUCCACCUUCAGCUGCAGCACAUCAGCACCAAAAGGGUUUUUAAGCUCCAGUUUGAAGGUUUUGGGGGUGGGAUAGGUAUAGAUUUUGAUGUUUUGGUUUCCUGGACUAACUUGAUUGCUGAUCACUGGAUGGGUUUUGUUGCUGUCAUCAUCUUGAUGCUGCUUGCCUGGCUCAGGAGCCCCACCUGUUAGAGCCCUCAGGAAUUCAUCAAGGACUGAAAGGUAAACUAUGCUGAAUUGGGAAAGAAAAAGCUGAAAAACUGAAUUCCAAGACAGCAAGGAAUAGCUAAAAAGGACUGUGCUCCACUGGAUUAAAACCAAUCAUAUUAUCAGAAAAGUGCGUGCGGAGCUCAGGGACAAAAUAGAGAAACCAAUCAAGCAAUGUGUGAUCUCAUGCACAGCAGUUGCAAAAUGUACGUGUAUUGUAUUAUGGAUAAGUUGUAAAAUGUGUAAGUUGUGUAUUAUGUAAAGAUUGUAAGAUGUGUAAGUAAGUAAAAUGCAUAAGUACUGUGUUACAAAGAAGUUGUAAAAAGUGUAAGUAAGAAAAUGUGUAAGUAGAGUGAUACGUACAUGUAUAAGUACAUAAGAUAAGCAAGUGAAAUGUAUAAGUAAGCAAAGUGUAUAAGUAAGGUAUUAUGUCAAAGUUGUGAGAUGUGUUAGUGGAGUAUAUUUUAAACAAUAAGAUGCUUCUGCAUAAUCAUAUUGAUUCAUUGAUCAGAAGGCCUGAGUUCCUGCAGUUGUGGCCGGCAACCGGCUACCCACCAGCCACUCUCUCACACCCUCACCGCAUCCAUCCCCCAGGAGCUGGAGGAAAGAAUAGGAAGAGUAAAAGUGAGAAAAAUAUGUGGUUCAAGAUAACGACAGUGUCAUAAUCUGUUUUAUAAUAACAAUGAGCUGCUGUUUGAAAAUGUAUUGGAUUGAAAUGGGAAAUAAAUAAUAAGGAAAUAUUUCUAGCUCAGCUCCACCAUUUUAAACCCAUUAACAUCAGUGGACCUGCUUCUGAUGAAAAUAGAAUCAAAGGUAAAGUAGGAGACAGUUGCACCUGAUGAACCAGUAGCAUCUGACACUUGUUAGCUACAGUCUUGUUUUUAAUCAAAAGUAGGGUAGAUUAACACAUGGAAAACCUGAAUUUAUUGUACAUGGCAUUUUGUAAACUUCAAGAUGAAUCUGAAGACUUACUUCAGCAUGAGGUUUUUCCUAGAUUUGAGUGUGAUCUUAACUGAAUCUUAUGCAUGGGAUUUUGCCUUCCAUACCCACUGAAAUGAUUAUUUUAUUGUUUUAAAGAUUUAAAUCGUAAGUGCAGUCAAUUUUGAAAAACUAAUAAUAAUUUUACAAGCCACAUUUUUCUGUAAAUAAAUGCCUCGAUGUAAAUUAUAUCUACAGAAUUCUCAUUUAUUCUUGUUCAUCUUCAUUUACUGGUAAUUUAUUUUAUAAAUAUAGGGUUAAGACAAUAAAUCUGACAUUGUUUAUGGAAAACAGCCUCAAUUAUUUUCAGAAAGAAGACUUUAAAAGAAGUGAUUAAACACCUAUUCUCUAAACUGCCAAAAAAAACCCAAAAGAAGGGGUUAUUCUAAGACCCUGCUAUUCACCCAGUGUAUUAAAAUCUAGGGUUUGUCCAAGGUUUCAGAUCCCUUAAUCAUGCUAGCUUAGCUUCAGUGGUACAUUUUUAGCAUGUAGUUAGAACAGUACAAUUGCUACUUCAUGCAGCUGCAAGAAAAUGUAGCUGCUUAACUCCAGUGUGCCAAAUACAACACGUAGUCUUGCAAGGCUUGGAGCAACAUCUGCUCUCAUAAAUUUGCUAUAAUAAGACUCCCUCGACCGGAGUGUUGGAUGUCUGACCCUGCUCUUGUCAGGGUGGUUAAAUGCAAUGUAGCAUUCCACCAACUGUCUUGUUCUUUUUUGGAUGGAUGAGUGUAAAGUCAGGUAGAGUGUGGCUGUGCAGAGGUAAGAUAAAUGGAAAUGGCACUUCAGUAACACUAAUGCAGGUACUAAAAUAAUAUUAUAUCAGAAUGAGGUAGUAUCUGGACAAAUAAUUUUCCUGCAGUACCUCAAUCAUUUAUGUGGCAUCUUGAACUGCUGCUGUGUGCAGCAUCAAUUUCUGUACUUUAGAGUAUGUAUGGAAACUGGGAAUUGGUGCUUUGAAUUUUCUCAUGUGCUUCUCUUAAAAGUCAUUGAAAGGAAGCCCACCGAAUAAAGUUUUUGUUUUAGCAGAUUUCUCAAGUAAUGUAAUAUUUCUGAAGAUGGCACCAGUCAGAAUACUGACUUGCCAGCACUGAAAUACUAGAUAUUUUAGUGUAAAAUAUCCAACAUUUUUUUAAAAUCCAAAAUACAGAACACUAGGUGUUUCUUAAAAGUUUUAGUCUGUUUCAAUUUUUCCUUAUUUUUGUGCAAAAGUGCCUGUUAAUUGUUUGAUUUUGCAUGUUUAAGUUAAUUAAUUUCUAAAGUUUCACUCCACCAACCACUUCUUAUUUGCUCUUUAAUAAAAUUUGCAACUCUAAUUCACUUGUCUCCCUGCUACAAAAGGAAUAUGUUGAAGGAUGACUUCUGUUCAUCCCUGGCUGAUACUAUUGAACUCCAGUGGACAAAACAGAUUAUUUAAUCAACAUUUAUUUGGCUUGCACUGUGUGUAUUACACUCUACCCUACACAGCCAGGCUGUCAAGGAUUCCAUGCUUUUCCAAGAAACAUAUCCUCUUGUUCCCAAAGCACAAGCAGACAUUUAAUACCCGAGCUGUUUUCACUCCACUUCUUCCAAACUCUUCCAACCCUUUCUCUUCUGGAGAAGUAUUAGUGCCACCAUCAUGUAGAAGGGCUCAAACCUACUUGAACUUAUUAGCAAGUUUUCUGUCAGCUCUUUGCUUUCAAUUUGCUGUGAUGCCUAAUUUUGUUCUGCCUGGCUGAAUUGGCUGGGAUAGUCAUCCAUUAUUCCCUGCUUUCUGGACCAAGUGGGCUUUAGGAUUGUGCUGCAGGGUUGGAGAAAACCAGAGUUCCCUAGUCCAGAGCCCUGUGAACAGUGUCCUCAGCCCACUGGAGCUUUCACCUGCUUCCAGAGCCCUGACUCAAAAGUAAGGACAGUGUGGUCUCCCUGAUUUCAAGUUUUAGUUUGACACCUACUGUGGUAGCUUUAGCAUGUUAACUGCUAAGAAGCCUUAAGAACUGCUAAGGAAGAGGACUUCUAACUUUCUUUCAGUCCUUAAUUUCUUCUUUUUCUGCUCUCUGCUUAUUUAUGAAGAAGUCCCUGUGCAAGUGUAGGAGAACACUGGAAAUGCCAACUUCUCAUCCAAGGCAAAUUCUAUGCAAAUGCUUUAGAAAUCCUGCUGUGCUCACCUUGUGUACAGAUUGGUUUCAAUCAUUUUUCAGUCUGUUUCAGAGUCUUAUGCACAAAUAUAAACAAAAUGUGAGCACUGUGAAAAAUACCCAGAACAUAAUAAACCUCUGACCACAUUUCCACCAGUCUAGGGCACGUGCUGUACAGUUUUACUCUCAGCAGAAAUUCUCAGGCACACAGUGAUCACUCUGGAAUGUGAUUUUGUAACACUGUGCUCUGGUGAGAGUUAGUUUUGAGGGCUUGGCUGUCGUUUUUUCCUAUAGGGGCAGUGCUGUUCCUCCAUGUGAGCAGUGAUUUUAAUAAGGAAGGGAACUGAGACAUUCCUCCCUUAGCACACUGAAUUCCUAUUUUACAACAUUAUAUAACUCUAAUCCCUGUUUCAGCACUUCAGCAGGAUGAAAGUGGCAGGUAUUUGGCUCUUUUCCUGUCACAUAACCACAGUGUAAUGGUGGAUUUAGCAGGGUGAAGUGAGGAUUUUCAUCUCUUACUACUUCUUAUGCCUGUCUCUGAAGCCAGUAAUAGUCAUGCCCCCUGUGGGUGUUCAGGACUGGUGUUUAGGGGCCAAAAGACUGUUCCUUUUUCCGGACAGUGAGUUGAAUUAAAAGUGAAGCUGCAAGUAGUUUGUCCUUGGAUGAGGGAGGAAAUCUUUGGUUUAUUGUUGAACUCAGGGCUCAGGAAGUGGUGUAAGUUGAAUAUGUAAGUUUUUGGCAGAUAUUGUGUUUCUACCAGAUAUGGAGGAGGAAUAAGGAGUUGAGAAUAUACGAUUGAAACAUUGCAUUUAGAAUUUAAAAUGGAUGCAUUGUGGCAGCAGUGCUAUCUAAAUUGUCUUUGUAACUCUCUUUCACUUUUUACUGCAUUUUUAAUUUAGCCUGUGAUGCACUACAUGUGCAUAGGGAUAAAAUACCAAACUUACUCACUUGGCAGAUUGGUCUCAUAAGACUGUCUGGUCUGUAGUAAAAAGCAAAGUGUUAAGUCAGGUUCUGAAGACAGGAGCAAUAAGAGUUUUAGAUAUAUUCAGCCCAUUUACUCCCUGAGAAAAAAGGGGUGGUAUACUAAGCAAAUGUCAGAAUUAGGGGCAUAUUCCACACUUCUGUUAACACUGACCAUCAAAACUAAGAAGCUCUAAGUCAGGUCUAAAGAGUACCCAGUCUCACAGUAGGUUUCUGCCCUCCGGGAGUCUUUUACAUUCAACCACUGGAUAGUUUAGUAGACUCUUCUUGAAGUAAAAACAUAGUCAGGAACUAAGAUCAAAAUGUUAAAACUUAACCAGGUUUUUUAUUUAAGGACUAUCAACUUAUGAAAUAAAAAAGUGGAGAUAUUAAUAAGUUUUAAAGGUAAAUAAUAGCAAAAUGGUGGCAACUACUUCCUUUAGAUUGUUAAAAUAAUUACUCUAAGUUAUUUUCUGAGAGAGAAAAACAAUUUCUUAAUUAGAAGAAUGUUGAAGUCGCUCAAAAACAUUUUCAUAAUUUUGACAGAGGAAAAGCUGUGUUUUGUUUUGUUACUCUUUUAUUCAGUAAAUGCAGUUCGUAGAAGAGCAAGAGCACUCUGCAGUUGAACCAUCAGAUUUUAGUUCAUGCAUUAAGCAGUCUCUUCAAAUGUGUGUUAUAAGCAUGAUAUAGCAGCCCUAUCAUUAUUAUGUGUCUGAAACUGAGUAAUGUCCAAUAAAAUUGCCAGAAAUACCA